AUUGAACGCUGGCGGCAGGCCUAACACAUGCCAGUCGAGCGGAUGACGGGAGCUUGCUCCUUGAUUCAGCGGCGGACGGGUGAGUAAUGCCUAGGAAUCUGCCUGGUAGUGGGGGACAACGUUUCGAAAGGAACGCUAAUACCGCAUACGUCCUACGGGAGAAAGCAGGGGACCUUCGGGCCUUGCGCUAUCAGAUGAGCCUAGGUCGGAUUAGCUUGUUGGUGAGGUAAUGGCUCACCAAGGCGACGAUCCGUAACUGGUCUGAGAGGAUGAUCAGUCACACUGGAACUGAGACACGGUCCAGACUCCUACGGGAGGCAGCAGUGGGGAAUAUUGGACAAUGGGCGAAAGCCUGAUCCAGCCAUGCCGCGUGUGUGAAGAAGGUCUUCGGAUUGUAAAGCACUUUAAGUUGGGAGGAAGGGUUGUAGAUUAAUACUCUGCAAUUUUGACGUUACCGACAGAAUAAGCACCGGCUAACUCUGUG
rnacentral:rRNA from 1 species